rnacentral:lncRNA from 1 species
UGAGGCAGUAGAAACCUGGGUUCCUGAUGACUGUGGAGCUGCCAAACUAAUCUGGACCUCCAGAUUCCAUACCUGCAAGACACAUGAACAUCUGUCUUAUCAGCCAUCCCUGGAGAGGAUCCCUGGAGAGGAGAAAACCCAGGCCAUCCGGAUUUUCUGCAUGGGAGACCUGGCUGACCGCUGCCUGGGCUGCUUUCAAGUCUCACCGAAUUAUGAAGUCAACUACUGGGUGUUUAGAAUGUCUCAAGUUCAAAGACUAGCAGGCUAGAAGCAGACAUCUGAGGGAACUUCAGGCACCUUAGCAGGAGGAAUAUUAAGAUGUGGCACGCUGAGCUUAUCGGGAGACUGGAUAGGGAUCAGAAGGAAUACAUUUCUAUUCUGCGAGCUGCAGAGCUCAGGAGUCGUUCUUCUGAUAUCAGGCCCAUUGGUGGGUUUAGUUUUGGUGCAAGUUUCUUGGCCAUGGAGCUUAACUAGGAGGAAGCGAAUUGCAAUCAUUUUGGCCUGUGCUCCUUAGAGUCCCAGGGAUCAAUGGGAGGUGAGUGGCUGGGUGGGCGGGUAGAGCAAGGAGAACAGGGUACAGGAGACACUGCCACUUAUUUAUUUGUUUUUCCUACAAAUAUUUAUUGAGCCUCUAAGUAUGUACCAGGCACGUUCCAGAAGAGGGACUCAGAGGUCGUUGGAAGUGUGUGCCAGGAACCACUGAGCAAGGCCCUUGUCUCUCUUUGUGGGCCUUCUUCAGACACUUCCCCCUCAUACACGGGAUCUGGGAUCAUUAAACAUCUCAUUGUCCUUUGGAUUCACCAGCUUUUGAAAGUGCUGCUCCUGCUGGAAAAGCCCUCGCUUCCACUCUUCACCUAGAAAACUUCUAUUCAUUCAUUAAGGCCUG